CUGUCUGAAUAUGGGGGGACCAUCCUCCAAGGCUAAAUACUCCUGACUGACCGAUAGUGAACCAGUACCGUGAGGGAAAGGCGAAAAGAACCCCGGCGAGGGGAGUGAAAAAGAACCUGAAACCGUGUACGUACAAGCAGUGGGAGCAUGCUUAGGCGUGUGACUGCGUACCUUUUGUAUAAUGGGUCAGCGACUUAUAUUCUGUAGCAAGGUUAACCGAAUAGGGGAGCCGAAGGGAAACCGAGUCUUAACUGGGCGUUAAGUUGCAGGGUAUAGACCCGAAACCCGGUGAUCUAGCCAUGGGCAGGUUGAAGGUUGGGUAACACUAACUGGAGGACCGAACCGACUAAUGUUGAAAAAUUAGCGGAUGACUUGUGGCUGGGGGUGAAAGGCCAAUCAAACCGGGAGAUAGCUGGUUCUCCCCGAAAGCUAUUUAGGUAGCGCCUCGUGAACUCAUCUCCGGGGGUAGAGCACUGUUUCGGCAAGGGGGUCAUCCCGACUUACCAACCCGAUGCAAACUGCGAAUACCGGAGAAUGUUAUCACGGGAGACACACGGCGGGUGCUAACGUCCGUCGUGAAGAGGGAAACAACCCAGACCGCCAGCUAAGGUCCCAAAGUCAUGGUUAAGUGGGAAACGAUGUGGGAAGGCCCAGACAGCCAGGAUGUUGGCUUAGAAGCAGCCAUCAUUUAAAGAAAGCGUAAUAGCUCACUGGUCGAGUCGGCCUGCGCGGAAGAUGUAACGGGGCUAAACCAUGCACCGAAGCUGCGGCAGCGACGCUUAUGCGUUGUUGGGUAGGGGAGCGUUCUGUAAGCCUGUGAAGGUGUACUGUGAGGUAUGCUGGAGGUAUCAGAAGUGCGAAUGCUGACAUAAGUAACGAUAAAGCGGGUGAAAAGCCCGCUCGCCGGAAGACCAAGGGUUCCUGUCCAACGUUAAUCGGGGCAGGGUGAGUCGACCCCUAAGGCGAGGCCGAAAGGCGUAGUCGAUGGGAAACAGGUUAAUAUUCCUGUACUUGGUGUUACUGCGAAGGGGGGACGGAGAAGGCUAUGUUGGCCGGGCGACGGUUGUCCCGGUUUAAGCGUGUAGGCUGGUUUUCCAGGCAAAUCCGGAAAAUCAAGGCUGAGGCGUGAUGACGAGGCACUACGGUGCUGAAGCAACAAAUGCCCUGCUUCCAGGAAAAGCCUCUAAGCAUCAGGUAACAUCAAAUCGUACCCCAAACCGACACAGGUGGUCAGGUAGAGAAUACCAAGGCGCUUGAGAGAACUCGGGUGAAGGAACUAGGCAAAAUGGUGCCGUAACUUCGGGAGAAGGCACGCUGAUAUGUAGGUGAAGCGACUUGCUCGUGGAGCUGAAAUCAGUCGAAGAUACCAGCUGGCUGCAACUGUUUAUUAAAAACACAGCACUGUGCAAACACGAAAGUGGACGUAUACGGUGUGACGCCUGCCCGGUGCCGGAAGGUUAAUUGAUGGGGUCAGCGCAAGCGAAGCUCUUGAUCGAAGCCCCGGUAAACGGCGGCCGUAACUAUAACGGUCCUAAGGUAGCGAAAUUCCUUGUCGGGUAAGUUCCGACCUGCACGAAUGGCGUAAUGAUGGCCAGGCUGUCUCCACCCGAGACUCAGUGAAAUUGAACUCGCUGUGAAGAUGCAGUGUACCCGCGGCAAGACGGAAAGACCCCGUGAACCUUUACUAUAGCUUGACACUGAACAUUGAGCCUUGAUGUGUAGGAUAGGUGGGAGGCUUUGAAGUGUGGACGCCAGUCUGCAUGGAGCCGACCUUGAAAUACCACCCUUUAAUGUUUGAUGUUCUAACGUUGACCCGUAAUCCGGGUUGCGGACAGUGUCUGGUGGGUAGUUUGACUGGGGCGGUCUCCUCCUAAAGAGUAACGGAGGAGCACGAAGGUUGGCUAAUCCUGGUCGGACAUCAGGAGGUUAGUGCAAUGGCAUAAGCCAGCUUGACUGCGAGCGUGACGGCGCGAGCAGGUGCGAAAGCAGGUCAUAGUGAUCCGGUGGUUCUGAAUGGAAGGGCCAUCGCUCAACGGAUAAAAGGUACUCCGGGGAUAACAGGCUGAUACCGCCCAAGAGUUCAUAUCGACGGCGGUGUUUGGCACCUCGAUGUCGGCUCAUCACAUCCUGGGGCUGAAGUAGGUCCCAAGGGUAUGGCUGUUCGCCAUUUAAAGUGGUACGCGAGCUGGGUUUAGAACGUCGUGAGACAGUUCGGUCCCUAUCUGCCGUGGGCGCUGGAGAACUGAGGGGGGCUGCUCCUAGUACGAGAGGACCGGAGUGGACGCAUCACUGGUGUUCGGGUUGUCAUGCCAAUGGCACUGCCCGGUAGCUAAAUGCGGAAGAGAUAAGUGCUGAAAGCAUCUAAGCACGAAACUUGCCCCGAGAUGAGUUCUCCCUGACUCCUUGAGAGUCCUGAAGGAACGUUGAAGACGACGACGUUGAUAGGCCGGGUGUGUAAGCGCAGCGAUGCGUUGAGCUAACCGGUACUAAUGAACCGUGAGGCUUAACCUUACAACGCCGAAG
rnacentral:rRNA from 1 species